rnacentral:snRNA from 1 species
GCAUGUGAGAGUGAUCUGGCUGUGACAUCUGUCACCCUGUUGAUUGUCAAGGUUGAUCUGGAUGGUUAGGUGGGUGUCCCCUUCUUCCCUCACCCCUCCUGUGUGUCCCUCCCAAAACUGUGUGCUUAGUCAAAGAGGAUGACCAUCCCCCUAGAGAAGGACUAUCCUUCAGUCAAGGGUAUACAAGUAGCUGCACUCUCAUUAGAACCUCCAAACAAGCUCUCAAAGAAAAUAUUUGACUUAAUAACAGGGAAUUCAAAUUCUUAGCAAAAAACAAAACAAAACAAAAGGCCAGGAGCAGUGGCUCACGCCUAUAAUCCUAGCACUUU